CUGCAGCCCUGCUCACCGAGGCGCCGCCACCCCUGCAGCCCUUCUCACCGAGGUCACCGCCCUUUUACGUCUGCAAAAGGAGGACGGCCGUUCGCCCUUCCUCUGCCAAUCGCCUAGGGCUUUAUCUGCCGCCCUCUCGCCCUUUCGCCUCCACCUGUCGCUAGCGAGUGUACCUCCUCCGGUUGCCGAAGUCCUGCUCCGCCGCUUUGCUAUCCACACCGAACUGCCUCAACG
rnacentral:lncRNA from 1 species